UACGAAGGGGGCUAGCGUUGCUCGGAAUCACUGGGCGUAAAGCGCACGUAGGCGGAUUGCUAAGUCAGGGGUGAAAUCCUGGAGCUCAACUCCAGAACUGCCUUUGAUACUGGCGAUCUUGAGUCCGGGAGAGGUGAGUGGAACUGCGAGUGUAGAGGUGAAAUUCGUAGAUAUUCGCAAGAACACCAGUGGCGAAGGCGGCUCACUGGCCCGGUACUGACGCUGAGGUGCGAAAACGUGGGGAGCAAACAGG
rnacentral:rRNA from 1 species